GCAAGUCGAGGGGCAGCAUUUCUAGCUUGCUAGAAGAUGGCGACCGGCGCACGGGUGAGUAACGCGUAUGCAACCUACCUUACAUUUGGGGAUAGCCCAGAGACAUCUGGAUUAAUACCGCAUAAUAUAUUUGAAUCGCAUGGUUUAAAUAUUAAAACUCCGGUGAUGUAAGAUGGGCAUGCGUAGCAUUAGUUAGUUGGUGAGGUAACGGCUCACCAAGACAAUGAUGCUUAGGGGGUCUGAGAGGAUGAUC
rnacentral:rRNA from 1 species